UUUGAUCUCAAAUCAGGUAGGAUUACCCGCUGAACUUAAGCAUAUCAAUAAGCGGAGGAAAAGAAACUAACAAGGAUUCCCCUAGUAACUGCGAGUGAAGCGGGAAGAGCUCAAAUUUAAAAUCUGGCGUGCCUUUGGCCGUCCGAGUUGUAGUCUGGAGAAGCGUUUUCCGUGUUGGACCGUGUAUAAGUCUCUUGGAACAGGGCGUCAUAGAGGGUGAGAAUCCCGUCUUUGACACGGACUACCAAUGCUU
rnacentral:rRNA from 1 species